rnacentral:rRNA from 1 species
UACGUAGGUGGCAAGCGUUGUCCGGAUUUAUUGGGCGUAAAGGGAGCGCAGGUGGUUUCUUAAGUCUGAUGUGAAAGCCCACGGCUCAACCGUGGAGGGUCAUUGGAAACUGGGAAACUUGAGUACAGAAGAGGAAAGUGGAAUUCCAUGUGUAGCGGUGGAAUGCGUAGAUAUAUGGAGGAACACCAGUGGCGAAGGCGACUCUCUGGUCUGUAACUGACGCUGAGGCUCGAAAGCGUGGGGAGCAAACAGG